rnacentral:piRNA from 1 species
UGUCUGGUGACCGAAGCUCAGACGCUGC